GUCCCCAAUUUUUCCUUACAAAGGGGAAAAUCUAAGAUUCAUAACAAAAAGUAUUAGUAAAUGGAGAAUUUUUACUCAAUCACCAUUAGUAGCAAUGUAAAUAAUACCACUUUUUUAGAGGAAAAUUUCACAGAAUCUAUUAAUAUUAGCAAUCUUGCAAAAUUCCUAAUCUAGCAAUUCCACUUUUAAAAAUCUUUCCUAGGGACGCCUGGGUGACUCAGUGGUUUAGUGCCUGCCUUCAGCCCAGGGCAUGAUCCUGGGGUCCCGGGAUCGAGUCCCACAUCGGGUUCCCUGCAUGGAGCCUGCUUCUCUCUCUGCCUAUGUCUCUGCCUCUCUCUGUGGCUCUCAUGAAUAAAUAAAUGAAAUCUUAAAAAAAAAAUCUUUCCUAUAGAAAUAUUAGCACAAAUCUGUAAAGACAAACAUUCAGACAAGGAUGUUCAUUGUAAUCUAAUUAGCAAUAAUAUAAAAUUGAAAAUUACUUAACACCCAUCAAUACAAGAAUGAUUAGCCAUACAAUGGAGUACUACUGAAAGACCAUUAAAACAGAGGACAUCAAAUUAUACACUAUCCUGCUUUUGUAAAAUAAAAUAAAACAAAAAUUUACACAUAUUUGUAAAGUCUAGAAGGGCUAAUUAAGUUAUUAACAAUUGUGUCCUCUGGCCAACAGAAUUUGGAGGGGAACUGAGGACUUUCACUUUUUACUUUUUUUAUAUUGUUUGAAUUGCCAAGCAUCUUCCUUUUGCAAUUAAUAAUUUAAGUCUGCAAAAUGAGGGGGGAAGACACAUUUUUUUUUUAAGACACAUUUUUAAAAACAGUAUUUCAGACUUACAGGAAAGUUGCAAGAACAGUAUAAAAAAUUUCCAUAUACCCCACACUCAGAAAUCUCAUUCAAAUUUCACCACCUGUCUCUAUGUCCUUCCUAGUAAAAGGGUCCAAACCAAGAGCACAAAUUGUACUUAAGUUUCUUCAGUUUCCUUCAAUCUGGCACAAUUCCUCAGUCCUCUCGACUUGACCUUUAUAACCUUCAUUUUUGGAGACUGCAGGAAAGUUAUUUUAUACAAUGUGCCUCCAUUGGGAUUUGUCUGGUGUUUCCUCUUGAUCAGAUUGAUGUCAUAUAUCUUUCGCAGGAAUAUCACUGAAAUAAUGCUGUUCUUCACACCGCAGCCUCUCAGGUAAUGCCAAGUUCCAGGUGUGGCCUCUCACCGAUGAGGUUAACUUUGUAGGUGCUGGAUACCAGGUUUCUUCAGUCUAAAGCUACCAAUAUAUAUGUUAGCCAUGGGGCCUUAGAGAUGAAAUACUAAGCUGACUGCAAUGUAUCUAUUAGUUUAAUUAAUUGUUCAACGCAGGGUUGUAAUAUUCUAGGUGCCAGAAAUCAUUUAGGAAACCUUAGAGGAAAAGAAAGAAAAAGAGUAUUUUCUUAUUCACAGGUAAACAUAACUACAAAUUAGUUCCCAAUUUAAGUGGCCUCUAGGUUUGAGAAUACAUUUAUUACUCAAGUA
rnacentral:lncRNA from 1 species